GUCUAGGUGGUAUCGGCGGUAUUGGCGGAAUCGGUGGUAUUGGUGGAAUCGGAGGCGGUCUCGGUGGAUUAGGCGGUAUCGGAGGCGGUCUUGGUGGAAUCGGAGGCGGUCUUGGAGGAAUCGGAGGCGGUCUUGGCGGAAUCGGAGGCGGUCUUGGCGGAAUCGGAGGAGGUUUUGGUGGAAAAGGCUACUACUGAGGCUCAGGUCGUAUAGAAAAUCCGAUGAUGGUUGUGCACAACGUAUUGUAAAAUAAAACCUCUGAAAUAUGCUU
rnacentral:sRNA from 1 species